GCAAAUGGAAACUGUGCUACAUCAACUUAUGACGGUUACUUUGGAGCUGCGUCAUGCUCUUCCACUUUUUACUUCUAUUGUAAUACAGUGAUGGCGAAGAGGCAGUUUGUGAAGGUGCAGGUGAAAUCCAAGGACGAUGUGGAUGAUGCUCAACUGCAGACACUCGUGAUGAAGAAGUUACAGCAGACACUGUCAGCAGAUGACGAUUUGAAAAUCAAAUGGAGGACGCAAGAGAACGGAAACGUCUUUCAGAAGCAAAUCGAUC